rnacentral:lncRNA from 1 species
CAGUGAUCGACGAGUCCCAGUAUGGCAUUGACUCAGAUCCCAACAGUUCCCCGCCCCCAGUACAUUGAUUCAAGUCGAUCCUAGCCGAACAGGCAUGAUACUACCAAAGGACUACGGCAAGUUUAAACAGCGAUCUUGCAACGUCAGAAUAACUGCGGCAUUCUUAGAUUUCAAACAUGAGACACCGACCUACGGCAAUUAGUAAACCAUCUUAUUCACCACCUAACAUAGCUGCUCACAGUGAACGCCUAGGGACCGAAGAAUUCUUCAGGAACGUGAAACUUCAG